rnacentral:rRNA from 1 species
CCUACGGGUGGCUGCAGCAGGGAAUAUUGUGCAAUGAGCGAAAGCUUGACACAGUGACACCGCGUGUGGGAUGACGGUUAUAGGAUUGUAAACCACUUUCAGGAGGGAAGAAAAUGACGGUACCUCCACAAGAAGACCCGGCCAACUAUGUGCCAGCAGCCGCGGUAAUACAUAGGGGUCAAGCGUUGUCCGGAUUUAUUGGGCGUAAAGAGCUCGUAGGCGGUUCAACAAGUCGGUCGUAAAAGUUUAGGGCUCAACCCUAAAAUGUCGAUCGAUACUGUUGUGACUAGGAUACGGUAGAGGUGAAUGGAAUUCCGAGUGUAGCGGUGAAAUGCGUUGAUAUCAUAGGGAACACCGGUGGCGAAAGCGCAUAACUGGAUCUUUUCUGACGCUGAGGCACGAAAGCUAGGGUAGCAAACAGGAUUAGAUACCCUUGUAGU